rnacentral:lncRNA from 1 species
CAACAGAAUACUACGAACAGCUGUUUAUAAUCAUCUGGUUUAUAUGUACUGCUGCAGGGUGGCUGCACUCAACGAGUUUAUGCAAUGACUUUCUUGGAUGUUUCUGAAGGAUAAUUGCACAGGAGGAGGAUGUACAGAGAGUAGGCCCCUUGCACUAUAUGUGGUAUAUUCCACUUGUGCCUAAUUAUUAACUGGGAUCUUUAAUUGUUCUGAGCUUACGCUGCAAAGUGGUUUUUUCCUCCCAGAGUCUGGAAAGAGCAAUGAAAGGAAAGGCGGUCGAUCUCGUUCUCACACUCGCUCAAAGUCCAGGUCUAGCUCAAAGUCCCAUUCUAGAAGGAAGAGAUCGCAGUCAAAGCACAGGAGUAGAUCCCAUAACAGGUCACGUUCAAGACAGAAAGAUAGACGUAGAUCCAAGAGCCCACAUAAGAAACGCUCUAAGUCUAGGGAGAGGCGGAAGUCAAGGAGCCGGUCGCGGUCACGGGACAAGAGAAAAGAUACCCGGGAAAAGGUGAAGGAAAGAGUGAAGGAGAGAGAAAGGGAAAAGGAAAAGGAAAGGGAAAAGGAGCGUGAAAAAGACAAGGAACGGGGUAAAAACAAAGAUAAAGACCGUGAGAAGGAAAAGGACCAUGAAAAGGAGCGAGACAAAGAAAAGGAGAAGGAACAAGAUAAAGACAAGGAACGGGAAAAAGACAGAUCCAAAGAGGCAGAUGAAAAACGGAAGAAGGAGAAGAAGUCUAGAACACCGCCCCGAAGCUACAAUUCCUCAAGACGAUCCCGUAGUGCCAGCAGGGAAAGGCGGAGGAGGAGAAGCAGGAGUUCUUCUAGAUCGCCAAGAACAUCAAAGACCAUAAAAAGAAAGUCUUCUAGGUCUCCGUCUCCCAGGGGCCGGAAUAAGAAAGAGAAAAAGAGAGAGAAAGAACGGGACCACAUCAGUGACAGGAGAGAAAGAGAGCGUUCCACCUCCACAAAAAAGAGUUCUAGUGACCGAGACGGGAAGGAGAAGGUGGAGAAGACUAACACACCAGUUAAGGAGAAGGAACACAGUAAAGAGGCAGAUUCAACUGUGAGCACCGAUGCGGAUGAGAAGGACGCUGCCAGGACUGAGGAGGAAAGUAAAGCACAGCACAAUGGGAAUUGCCAGCCCCACGAAGAGCGCCUGUGCAGCACGGCCGACGCUGUGUAGGCCGCCCGCUUUGUCUCCUCCACGGCAGGCUCGACCCAGAGCUUUCAGUUCCAAACAAGGUGUAAACGGAGAAGGAACGUUACCCAUGUAUGGUAGCCAAAGCUUUCCCAGCUUUGAGGUGACAUUGCGGACAUCUUGUACUGAGCAUGGACAUCAUGAAAUACCAGAUGCUACCCAAACUGACCAUCUUCUGAAGUCUCCAUUUCCAUGGUGGCGGCCACGCUUGUCAUGUGGUGGGUGCAUCAGUGUUUGCCAGAAAAGCAGAGAUCCAGAGGGAAGUUCUCCACGGAGAUGAGCAGUGGAGGCUCUUAAAAAUAAUGCUAGUUAUUCAAUUUUGUAUUGUUUUACUUUUUUUUAAAAAAAAAUUUUCAAUAUAUACAGUUUGAUGAUGUGCUUGAAAUUUGUGCAAAUAUACAUACACUCUUGUAAAGUGCAAAGUAUGUAAGACGUUUUAACAUUUACUUCACAGGGGUUACAGUGAUUGUGGUAAAUCCUCACCAUUGGGUUUUCUUUUGCUCACUGUUUUGGACAUCAGUUUUUCUUUAAAACGGUUUUACAGGUUAACAUUGCUUAAGUAAGUGAUAAAAACCACUGACAAUGCAUGCUACUGUUCUUCAGAAGAGCAACUGUGUCGAAUACUAACGACGUAUUCAGUGUUUAGAAUCAUCGUCUGCCAUAAAAAAAACAUUUCUUAACUUCCUUAACAUUUCCAAGCUCAUGAGUAAUACUGCAGCGUGUCUUGUCAGCUGGAGGCGGCAAAGAUGCCCUUAUCAAAAGGAAGCAGCUUUCAGAGAUGGGCGAUUGGAGCACAAGCUGAAGCUCUAGUGCCUUCUGCAAUGUGUGCUGUACUGUUUUCUAGGGUUUUAUAUGUGCUAGUCAUUCUUAAUUCAUAUGGAAUCUAGAUGGCUGUAUUCUAGUCAUAUCCAUUGAAGUGUGCAAGUGGUGUGUCAGAAGCACUUCUUAAUUCAGAUAAGAAAAGGAAGCCCUGUUUACAAGAUGUGUGGAAGUUCAAACAACAAUGUAGUUUGGGGACCACCAGUUUUAUACUGUGAUGAUUAAACAGGAGACCUGCUCUUACAUGGCCAGAGGAAACCUAUGAGUUGAUUUCAUUGGAUGAUAGCCUUAAUAUUACCUUGCAGUCAUUUUCUCCUAAUGAUGCAGAAAUUGUACGUAAAGGAAGGACUAGGAGCAUAUGGAGAGGUAACUUUGUGUUUAAUGAUAUGCGUGCCUGAGUGUAAGAGACGAGGUCAUCCGUCAGUCUGAGGCUCACCUUUUUGCAGAAGGUAUGCAAGUAGUAAAACGACAUCUGUGUUAAUGUUUUCCCCAAAACUAUACAUUCUAGUUACUGCACUGUUCAUCAUUGCUCAUUUCCAGAACAACAGAAUCCUGCUUUUAAUUUGCAAAGGUUAUUUGAAAAUCAAGUGUAAUUAUUUUAACAGAACCUAAUACAAUCAAAUACUCAGUUGCCUUACCUCAUGAAGUUACUUUCCCAGCUUUCAAAAGCCAAGUAGCACUUUAGUUCCUUGGUUUCAACUUGAGUCUUUUUCACAUUAAUAGUGUGGAAUCUGUAAUCUGAAGACUAGAAAGGCCCUUUCUGCAAAUCAUAAAGCCUGGUUCGAUUAUGAAGCUGCUUAAUCAUCUUCGGGUGUUCAGAAUUAGCGUGUGUGUGUGUGUGUGUUUGCUUUUUUUUUGUCACUGUGUACAUUAAACUUUUGGAAAAUGCUUUACUAUGUAAAGUAUAGAUGGCCAUUUUAAUCACUUAGCCACAUACGGUUGGCUGGUAAACAGCUUAUUCUGAUACAGAAAUACUUGGACACCUGUGGAGAGAUUGUGAAGGAGUGUCUCACUUCAACCGCUGUCUUAUUUAUGAAAUGUAAGUAGAAUAGAGCAAAUGUUGGAAUCUUUGUUAUUUUUUAGUACCAUUUCUCUAAUAAAGUUGAGUAUUUUAGCGG